ACUCCAUGGUGUGGACAUUUCGCUGCAAAUCCUUGAAUCUUUCCCAGACACAUGAAGCGUUUCGUUGUCACGUUGCUUAAAACUAGUGAUGUCAGUUCUGAGCUU
rnacentral:snoRNA from 1 species